GACGAACGCUGGCGGCGUGCUUAACACAUGCAAGUCGAACGGAAAGGCUCCAGCUUGCUCGAGUACUCGAGUGGCGAACGGGUGAGUAACACGUGAGUAAUCUGCCCUGCACUCUGUGAUAAGUCUAGAAAACUGGGACUAAUACUGGAUAUGACCUUUCUCGUUAGGGGGGUUGUUGGAGAGUUUUUCUGUUUAGGAUGAGCCCGCGGCAUAUCAGCUUGUUGGCGGGGUGAUGGUCUACCAAGGCGACGACGGGUAGCCGGCCUGAGAGGGUGACCGGCCACAUUGGGCCUGAGAUACGGGCCAGACUCCUACGGGAGGCAGCAGUGGGGGAUAUUGCACAAUGGGCGGAAGCCUGAUGCAGCGACGCCGCGUGGGAGAUGACGGUCUUCGGGUUGUAAACCUCUUUCGGCUGGGACGAAGCGUAAGUGACGGUACCUGCAAAAGAAGCACCGGCUAACUACGUG
rnacentral:rRNA from 1 species